UAUUGAUUCACUCCCGCAGAUAUACACAUUUCUUUUACCGGCUGUAUAUAUUUACGCCCACGCUGCCUUACCCCUUUGUUUUCUUCUAUUGUUGGAACACUUUUGCGAAUGCAGAUUGAUUAAACUGGCGGUGUAAGAAGAAUCGUAACACUCUGUUGACCCAGUGUACCCAGUCAUCUCCGCAGCCCCUCCAGUUAAUCCCCCACUACUUGUGUGUUUUGUUUAGUCGGCCAAACACAACGAUAUACAUAUAUAAUGACUGAGUCAAGCCGGUUUUUCUUUGCUAAAUUUAAGCGGCUGUCAAGUGCUUAUCGUUUCGAGUCCGGUACCUUCUGUAUGCCAUGGAUAGGCCGGAACCCACUGAAUAAGUGAAAAGUGAUAACACAGGUCACUGGGAGAGCCAAUGGGAGAAGAAAUGGGGCCGCAAGGUCAGAGAUAAUUGUGUAAAUUUACAAGUUUUACGACACUUUCACGCAAUACCAAUUAAAUGCGCGGGCAUAAGAGCCAAGGUCGAGAGAUUAUAAACGAAAUUACGGCUUAAGUCAUCUGGUGUGUUCCGGUUUUUAAAUUCACACCAACAAAAAUGGCUUCAAUAAACAUUUAAAAUUAAAUUAAUAGCAUAUUUGCUUUAAGUAUAAUUUUAAUUUUAUUGCAAGUGUUAAAUUGAAGUUCAAAAUGUUUUGAAACACUAAGAAAAUGCCACCAUUACUUAAAAAGCAUUGAGUAUAAUAUUAAAAUAUAUUUCUGAGUGUUUUCUGGAACAGCUCACCAAUGAGCUCAUAAUAAAUAUUUAAAAGCCGCUCGACAACAAAUUUAAUUAUUCUGAAUUUUAGAUUUCAUGUGCAAUUGCUAACUUGCAUUUUGGAGCAGCGAUACUCACCAUUGCAGUACUGGGCGGCCAAGUCAGACUCGUCGUAGCGACAUCUCUUGGUGUACACCGGUUGGUCCGUGUCCAAAUCCCCGACAGGAUUGUGACCGGGAUUCAGACGUUUCUUGCAGCGCAGGACUUCCGGGGGCAGGACGACCGGCAUCGGUUGUGCCGCCAGGUGAUUGCCAUCGCUGUUGUUGUUGUUGUUGGCGUCGGUCAUGAAAGUGACGGCGCGUGGAUUGAACGGAUCCAUCGAAGGACGCAGCGCUCCGGUUUCGAAAGUGGCGGCCGCCGACGACGACGGAUCACCAUGUGCCCAGCACUCGAAGUUCGUCAAAACCAUCGCGCGCCAGCUGCAGUGGAAUU